rnacentral:lncRNA from 1 species
CAAGAUAUAAGAGGAUUCAACCUGAGUUCAUGAGUUGAUGGUAUUGUAUAGAAUGAUUCACAAUACCUUGCAGCAUUUAAACUGAGAAAUUCAAUCUUUCCAAAGAAUUAUUGAAUUGGACUAUCACAUUUUAAUUAAAACCAAGGUUAGGCAGCUGAUCAGUUCCGCACUAACCCCGAGCAGGCCCCGCCAUGCUCUAUCACUGGAUCCAAGGCACUCAUUGGCCUAAAAUGACCACGAAUCUGGUCCACAGGUUUAUAUAAAAACAAUAAUCCAAUUCUCUAAUUCAAUUCAAGAAGCCAAUGUAAAUUAACAGAACAUCAUCAUAAAUAUCAUCAACAACAGAAAAAUUUUCAAUUCAUCUUUUCAUAAACAACGACCCAUCUUUUCAUAAAUCAUAGUUCAGGAAAUCCUUAACUAUUCAGUAUCCUCCAUUAUCGGCUAAGCAACUGAAUUUAGCCUGCUAAACCAGCAUGACAAUGGCGGGUUGAAUAAUCAAGAAGAUCCCAAGUCAUUCUAGGUUCUAACCAUCACUGAGCAACACAUGCUUCAAUGACAAUCUGAACUUCGAAUUAAUUUGUAAAAUGGAAUUAUCUGAAUUUUUGAAGAUUAGAACAAGAUGGAUAAAAUAUUUACACUUUCAAAUAUGAAAAAGAGAGGAACGAAUAUUUGCAACACAUACGAAAAGAAUGGAUCAGAAUAAUUGCAAGAUAUCCAAAAGAAGGGUAUAGGAUACUUGCCUUAAAUCUGACUCCAGUCUCACAUCUCAAUCUCAUCUUUCCACUUUCACAAUCUAUGCAUCUCAUAGUCUCUAGACCAUCUCUGGCUAUACUCUAUCUACCGUACAUCUUCGCUUCGCUUACUCGAUUCAUCCCUUAUUCGCUUUGUAACACCACGUGACUUUCUGAACGUCUUCGGGCAUACACGUCUCGUCCAAAUCCUUUACGAGAAUAAGAUAACACUAUAAUCACUAAACAAUCGAUCGCAUAUACAUCUCACGUAUAUCAAUACCCACUUAUAUAUCCCUUUAAACUUAUCAGAUACCACGUAACACAUAAGCAUGCUUUAACUCUAACAUAUAGUCAAUCAUAUUCCACAUAACAUAUCACCAAUCAAUUAUCAUAUAAAUCCUUAUCGAAAAUCCGACAUCGUCUCGUCUAUGUAUAAGACUAUCCACCUAUUAUCUUAUCCCAAUCAUUAAUCAACCAACAAAAUCCAAUAGCUAUAAUCCAUAUAUUCUUAUCCAAUAUCAAUCAUACGAAUCAUUUAUCACUUCACAAUAUCAAAACUAACACGUACUUCACAUAAUCAUCACCUGAUAGCACUUAGAUAACAUAUUAUCACAUUAUGCAUACUUAUCAACAAUUAUUCACCUUAUAGACUCAGCCAUAUAGUCACAUCAUAUUAAAAUAGACGUUAUAAGCUUCUGUCUCUCUUUCGUUUCACUUGAUUCCGACUUACGGAUCAAAAGUUAUGCUCAAAACAGUUUUCUCACUCUCCUAUCGGCACAUAACACAUCCAACCAAUAGCAGACAACACACAACACAUAAGGUUUCCCAUCCCAAUUGAUAUUAAAUCAAGUCUUGGGUUAAAAAUGAUUUUUCGGGAAUUUUCUGGAAUUUUUAAACAUUUUUCGGAAUUAAAAUCGAUAAAAGAAUCACUUUUCGGAUAAAUAAUCAAGUCCCAAAUACUUGAAAUUGGACUUGAAAUCAUUCAUAAACAAUUAUCGAGCCUUGAAAAUAAUUUGGAAAAAUAUUUUAAAGCUCGAAACUAUUUUUCGGAAUUUUUAAAUCAAAAAGGAUUAAUUAAAUCCAAUUAAUUAAUCAAUUAAAAUCAAUUAAUAAUUAAUUAAAAUAAUUAAUCAAUUAAUAUUUAAAUUAAUUGACCAAUUAAAAUAAUUAAUUACUAAUUAAAAUUAAUUAACAAACUAAUUUAGAUUUAUUUUUGAAUAAAAGAAUUAUUAAAAACUAUUUUUGAAAUUAAAAUAAUUAAAUAAAACAAUUUUAGAAAAUUAAACCAGAAAGGUUUGUUUUGUAAACUUUCAAAACUUUGUCGCAAGGUUUAAACUGCAAUUUUUCAAAGUUACAGGGGUUGAAUCGUUAAAACCGAAACUAUAGUACCCAAUCUUCAUCAUCUUCAAAAGAUGGGUGACCAAACGGCAAUUUGCCGCCGGCCACCACUGGUUUCGCCGGAAUCGGCGUUACAGACCUUUGUUCGCCACCAACUUGUCCAGAUCACCUCUCUAGCCCGCCAGGAAUCUUACCAUGCCCAUGAAUCAGCCAGAAUCCAAGCCGUUUGGCCGGAUUUUUGGCGACAAAAUCGCGCCGCCGCCAUUCUUUUUCAGAACCCGACGAGAUAUUCACAGCCCCAACACCACAUAUAAUCAUAUACACAUAUUCUACUCAUCACCAGGAACGUUUUUAUAGCUUUAACGUCUACCCAAGUUAAGCCGAAGUGAUUCUCCGGCAAGAAUUCAAAGUUUUCCGGCCAAUACUCAAGAACACUCAAGAACAUCCUUUCAAGAAUCAAACAACAUUUUCUAUAUGUUUCCGAACUCGAAAUUCAACAUAUAAUAUACCAAAACGACGAGAAAAACACGUACUACAACAUGGAAUCAUCAAAACAACCAAACAAUCACGUUUGCAAAAAUUCAUAAUUAAAAUCAUAAUAAUUCGAAUUUUGUAAAAAUCAUGUAAAAUCACCUGAUGAAUCUGCAGCGUUAUAGUUGAUUAUACUAUAUUCUACGCGUCGAGAGCUUCGUUUUGACUAUUCAUACGCCUCCAUCGGAUUCCAAUAACACCUUCAAAACCUUGUUUGAUUACGAAGAACACGAAGAACAAAGUUUGGUUUCUCUCGGUAUUCGUGCAGAGAAACUGGUGAAAAUGAUUUUACGGGUGAAAAUAAGCUCUAGAAAGGUCUAUUUAUAUUUACAAAUAAUUGGUACCCCUUUGGAUCGUUUAUGACAUGAAAGUACGUAUUUAGUAGCUUUAUAUUAAUAAAGCAGGGUCCAAUCGGUACUGGUUUUCAAGAUAAUCAUCAAAACGGGGCUUUUUAAUCAGUCAUUAGUAUGCGGGUCCCACUGCAAUUAUUACAAGAUAAGGAUGAAUCAAAAUAUCUAGUUUCACGUUUAUCGAGACAACCAGAUAAUUAUCAACAAUUAAAAUACCCGAAAAACUCCGCCGGACCGACUACGGGGAAAACCGUACUCCGGAUCGAAAAAGUCAAAACACGAAAAAUGUCCGGAAUAUUCAAAUUAGGCUAAAGGUGAGUUUUCUCGAAACUUUCGGAAAUAAAAUCGUUGCUCCGUCACGAGUGGACGGUUUCCAAAAAGAUCAAAUAAUUAAUAAAUAAAUACAAAUAUACGCAAUUAAAUCUGUAAAUCGAUUAUAAAAUCAUCUAACAUUCCAUAAAUCGAUACAAAAUAUCCAAAUAAACUACAUUUUAUCCUGAUCAUAUAGAAAUUGAAAUAUCUCAAAUCCGAGCACAUAUGAGCGGUCAAUUAAAUAAACCAGAUAGUACAAUAUUCACAAAAAUUCAUGUAUUAAUCAUAUAAUAUCCGUUAUUAACCACAAUUAAUUAACAAUCAAUUCCACCAACACCACUUAAUCACAUAACACGUAUAUUCACAGAAUAUUCAUACAGAAUUUUCAAAACAAUAUUUGAAAAUCAGUUUUGAAAAUACCAUUAUUUAUAAAUAACACAAUAACCCGGGGUUUAAAUAUAAAACUUUGAAAACUCAUUAAACUGGAAUAAAAUAUUAAAUCUUAUUCCUUUCUUUUUUUUAAGAAAAUCAUUUAUAAUAUUAAUAAAAAUAUUUAAAAGUCCGGGUCACUACAAUCUACCCUCCUUAUAGGGAUUCCGUCCUCGGAAUCAGAGAAAGAAGGAGGACGCAGAAUCUGUAAAAUCCAUAUUAAUCCACAUAACAAGUAUAAUCAUAUAAAACUAUUCACAUAAUCAAUUCACUUUUCAACUAAAGCCAGCAAUAAUAUCUAGACAAAUAAAUUUAUAAUAAUCAAAUCUGAAUUUAAAAAUAUGGGAUAUUACAUUCUACCGCCCUUAUAAGGAUUCCGUCCUCGGAAUCCCCCGAAGAAAACUAAAACGUACACGCUUCGUAAUAUCAUAUCGUCAUCCACCUUUUGAUCAACCUUUGCAUACCUUCAACUUUAAAGAAAUAGGAGAAUCAAACUUUCACAAUUACCAAAUUCGUUUCCCAAGAAUCAAUCUUUGGGAAUUUUGGAGGAACGAGAUGUUUUCAAGAUAGGUCACAUUGGAAUAUAAAAGUGACUGGGAGAUCAAUAAGAUCAAUUGAACUUAAUGUUGCGUGUCCAUAUUAGACACUACUAAAGGUUGUUAACCUUCUUGUAAUCACAACACACACAAGUGAUGGCGUCCCAUCCAACUCCUAUCACACAGACAGGUAUACCUUGUGUCCCCUAUACAUAGGGUUGUUCAUCCCAAUCAGAUGGAAAGAAUCCAAGAAAUCUCAAGGAGCAUCAAAGAAUGUUAAGGAUUAUCGAGGAAUAUAUUAAGGAACAUCAAAAGAUAUCAACGAAUAUCCAAGAAUGUCAAAGAAUAUCAACGAAUAUUAAGGGAUAUCAAAGAAUAUGGAAGAAUAUCAAGGGGUAUCAAAUAAUAUCAAGGAAUUCCAAUGUCUCUUCAUAAACACGCCUUUAUCAUACACCGAUUCAAUACUAACUCACACCAAUAAUCAAUAUCAUUAUCAUCUUAGAAUUUGAGAAAUUAAAGAUCUCAUUUAUCAAAACUUUUGUAGAAAAGAUAUCAUGAUAAUAUCUCACUGAUGAGAAAACAAUCAAAAGAAUCUUUAGUUGAAGAGAGGUAUUGCCAAGGUCUUCUCAGAUUUUCGCUCUGCUUCAAUAAAUCAUUGUUCGAUAUAUAUCUUCUUUUCAACGUUCUCGAUAAUCGAUCGAUGUUGACUCGUAAUAACCUUGUAAAAUUUCAUCGUCGACAUUAUCGUUCGUAAUAACUCUCGCCCAUGUAGUCUUCGUUUUUUUUCUAUUUCAUUCCAUCUGCCUUUGAAGUCCAUAGCACAACACGUAGCAUAUCUUCGAUUAUCUGGAUCAUCAACCUGUGGGUUAUGGGCCCACCUUGAUGCCAGUUGAAAUCCCGAUUAGCUCAAAGCGUUGUCGUCGAGGACUAACGUUCUAACUUACUCGUAGACAUCAUCUCUAAUAAUUGGACUCAAUUCCACAUAUUCUCUAUCAUUCACUUCUCACCUAUCAACCUCUAUCUACCAAUCUCUCCUUCUAAUCCAAUACAACUCAUACUCUACACUUACUCUUCAUAUCUUCACUCAAAACAAUAUACAUCUUCCAAAUAUCUGACAUGGUCAACAUACUAUGAACCAUGCAUUUAUAUCAUCCUCAAAUCAAUACAAUAAUCCAAUUUCAAAUAUGCAGUAUAGUCAGAAUACUCUGAACUCUGCAUUUUCACCAUUCUCAACUCAAUCAUUCACUAUCAAACUCUUCUAUAUAGGUCUAAUACUGACCUUUUCCACAAUUCACCAUCUCAAUUAAUCAACAUACUAGAAAUCAUAUGUCUAAACUUAAGAAUCCUAAUCUCUUUAAAUACCCACACUUAACUUGAUCAUCUAACUAAACUCUAUGCUUCACUCACAUCUCUAGACUAUUCCUAAAUAGUCCGACCAUACCUCUAUGUGAGGUUACACCACCUUCUUCUCUAGAAAACCUAUAACUAUAAUCUAUAUUCUAAUUUCAAAUACUUAUAACCUGUUGCUCUGAUACCAACUGUGACAGUCCAGGAAUCCGGGGGCCUGGAUUCUGACGUCACCACAUAAAACCCAUUUUUAAACACUUUUGAAAACCUGUAUUUAUUUAUUUAUUUAUUUAUUUAUUUUUUAAAAGAUAAUGAAUCCAAAUAAUUUAAAACUUGAAAACAUUUAAUAAAAGAUUUGAAAGAGAACACAAAUCAAAUGAUUUCAAAACCUGAAUUUCAAACUUGAAAGCCAUAAUAAGAGAAUUUCAAGAGAACAUUUAAACUUUAAUAAAUGAUUCGAAAGAGAACAUUUAAACCCCCUAAAACAACAGGAUCGCAUCCAGGUUACAGUAUUGAAAUUAGAAUCAACCACUAUUAUUACACAACAUCUCUUACCAAAUCAGAUCAUCUUCGAUAAGAAGAAUCACUGUCAACUAUUCCAGCUUGCACCAACCUCAUCAACUUUCCUGAACACUCCUCGACCACUGGAUCCUCAACUCUGUCUCCUCGCCUAGCAUUAGCCUUACUCACAAUCUCAAUCAAUCAUCUCAUCUUUAAGCCUUUCUGAAAUGGUUAGAAAGGAAUAGCAAGGGUGAGCAACAAUGCUCAGCAAGUAAUAAUAAACAAUGAUAGUUCUGAAAUGAUAUAAUAGAAGUUCACGAGUUCAAGAUAUAAGAGGAUUCAACCUGAGUUCAUGAGUUCAUGGUAUUGUAUAGAAUGAUUUACAAUACCUUGCAGCAUUUAAACUGAGAAAUUCAAUCUUUCCAAAGAAUUAUUGAAUUGGACUAUCACAUUUUAAUUAAAACCAAGGUUAGGCAGCUGAUCAGUUCCGCACUAACCCCGAGCAGGCCCCGCCAUGCUCUAUCACUGGAUCCAAGGCACUCAUUGGCCUAACAUGACCACGAAUCUGGUCCACAGGUUUAUAUAAAAACAAUAAUCCAAUUCUCUAAUUCAAUUCAAGAAGCCAAUGUAAAUUAACAGAACAUCAUCAUAAAUAUCAUCAACAACAGAAUAAUUCCAAUUCAAACUUUGAUAAUAAUCUAUUCAUAAAUCAUGAUCCAUCAUUUCAUAAAUCACAGUUCAGGAAAUCCUCAACUAUUCAGUAUCCUCCAUUAUCGGCUAAGCAACUGAAUUUAGCCUGCUAAACCAGCAUGACAAUGGCGGGUUGAAUAAUCAAGAAGAUCCCAAUUCAUUCAAAGCUCUAACUAUCACUGAGCAACACAUGCUUCAAUGACAAUCUGAACUUCGAAUUAAUUUGUAAAACGGAAAUUCUUUAGAAACUUGAAGAUUAGAAAGAAUGGGUCAGAAUACUCGCACUUUCGAACAUUGAAAAGAAAGGUAUGAAUACUUGAAACAUAUACCAAAGGAAUGGAUCAGAAUAUUUGCAAUAUAUCCAAGAGAAA